rnacentral:rRNA from 1 species
GACGGAUGGGGCUAGCGUUAUUGGUCUUUACUGGGCGUAAAGGGUAUGUAGGUCGUUUAUCACUUAUUUUGUGAAAUGUCUAGGCUUAAAUCUUUUCAUAUUGCAUUUUAAAAGGAUAUAACUUGAGUUUAGUAGGAGUUUGUAGAAUUCUUAAGGAAGGGGUAGAAUCUUUAGAACUUAGGAGGAAUACCAGAGGCAAAGGCGACAUUCUAUACUAUUCUGACGCUGAGGUACUAAAGCGUGGGGAGCAAACAGG